GCUCGUUGGGCCUGCUCUGUAAGCCGGCGGUCCCGGUUUCGGCGCGCGGCUCGUCUGGCUCCCUGAACAGCUUGCUCAGGAGCAAUGUCACCUGCGCAUCAUCAGCCCACCUCCUGGGUGGCAGAUUCAUUCACAUCCUUCUCCAGAGCUGUGUGCUCACCGGAAGAGGUCUGGUUCCUGGUUCCCUUUCCCUCCAGACCCGCUGUUGGAGUUGAAGUCUGGGUAUUCACCAGAAUUUUAAAAAGAGUCUAAAGGAUUAAAUCCGACGGGUCUUUUCAUUUUUCUUCAAACGAAAAGAUAAUGGCCUUAUUUUAUGAACAAGAAUAUUAUCCUCUGAAUUAUCAGAGAACAAAAGAGGAUACUCACCACCUGAAAAGUCAAGUGUCCUAGAGAAGAAUUGGAGUUUCUGACAAAGGUUCAUCUGAUUUUCCUGUGUGGGAGGUCCUGACAUCACAUUGCUCUUUUCCCCCUACUUCAAGUCAGUCCAGGAUACCUUGAAAUUCAUACCAUCUUUGAGGAUCACAUGUUACAGUUGCAGAUGGGCAUUGCCUCCCCUGCUGGUGGAAGGGAGGAGGAACCCGGCACCAGCAAGAGCUCUUCAUUCAUAAGCCAAGUUGAAAACUUUGGAAUUUGUUGCAGCUUCUUUGUUUAUUGCUGAUGGCAUUGAUGUGGUGUGAGAACACUUUGUCCACAUAGCCCUCCUGACAUCUGAGGUCCUGGCACUCCUGCAGGCUAUCUAGUGGGCAUGAUGGACAAAGUCCUGCCAGGACAGCAAGACCAGAAAGGUGGACAUAUGGCAGGUGGGAAGGCAAGCUGUGGGGGAAACUGAGAGCAGUAGGGAGCAGCUGGAGGAGGGAGGGCCUCGGUAGGGUCAGGACAACUUUCCCCCUUGUUUGCAGACUGCCCCCAAGCUCUUGUCUGUUAUAAAUGAAAUCCAGUGAACCCAUCUGGUUCUUUGUCAAAUCAAAAUCUUUUGUACCCAGGCACGAAGGGGAUUUCAUUGGGAAUAAAAGUGGCAUUUCAUCAA